rnacentral:rRNA from 1 species
GACGAACGCUGGCGGCGUGCUUAACACAUGCAAGUCGAACGGUGAAGCGCCUUCCUUUUUGGUGGGUGUGGAUGAGUGGCGAACGGGUGAGUAACACGUGAGUAACCUGCCCCCUUCUUCUGGAUAACCGCAUGAAAGUGUGGCUAAUACGGGAUAUUCUGGGUCUGUCGCAUGAUGGGUCUGGGAAAGAUAUUGUUUCGGUGGGGGAUGGGCUCGCGGCCUAUCAGCUUGUUGGUGGGGUGAUGGCCUACCAAGGCGGUGACGGGUAGCCGGCCUGAGAGGGUGGACGGUCACACUGGGACUGAGACACGGCCCAGCCUCCUACGGGAGGCAGCAGUGGGGAAUAUUGCACAAUGGGCGCAAGCCUGAUGCAGCGACGCCGCGUGAGGGAUGGAGGCCUUCGGGUUGUGAACCUCUUUCGCCAGUGAGGCAGGCCUGCCUCGUUUGUGGGUGGGUUGACGGUAGCUGGAUAAGAAGCGCCGGCUAACUACGUG